GGGCGGGGGGGGGCUAUAAUGCAGUCGAGCGGACAGAAGGGAGCUUGCUCCCGGAUGUUAGCGGCGGACGGGUGAGUAACACGUGGGUAACCUGCCUGUAAGACUGGGAUAACUCCGGGAAACCGGAGCUAAUACCGGAUAGUUCCUUGAACCGCAUGGUUCAAGGAUGAAAGACGGUUUCGGCUGUCACUUACAGAUGGACCCGCGGCGCAUUAGCUAGUUGGUGGGGUAAUGGCUCACCAAGGCGACGAUGCGUAGCCGACCUGAGAGGGUGAUCGGCCACACUGGGACUGAGACACGGCCCAGACUCCUACGGGAGGCAGCAGUAGGGAAUCUUCCGCAAUGGACGAAAGUCUGACGGAGCAACGCCGCGUGAGUGAUGAAGGUUUUCGGAUCGUAAAGCUCUGUUGUUAGGGAAGAACAAGUGCGAGAGUAACUGCUCGCACCUUGACGGUACCUAACCAGAAAGCCACGGCUAACUACGUGCCAGCAGCCGCGGUAAUACGUAGGUGGCAAGCGUUGUCCGGAAUUAUUGGGCGUAAAGGGCUCGCAGGCGGUUUCUUAAGUCUGAUGUGAAAGCCCCCGGCUCAACCGGGGAGGGUCAUUGGAAACUGGGAAACUUGAGUGCAGAAGAGGAGAGUGGAAUUCCACGUGUAGCGGUGAAAUGCGUAGAGAUGUGGAGGAACACCAGUGGCGAAGGCGACUCUCUGGUCUGUAACUGACGCUGAGGAGCGAAAGCGUGGGGAGCGAACAGGAUUAGAUACUUGGUAAAUCCAAAAAAA
rnacentral:rRNA from 1 species